rnacentral:rRNA from 1 species
CAAUAGCGUAUAUUAAAGUUGUUGCAGUUAAAAAGCUCGUAGUUGGAUUUCUGGUUGAAGCGACCGGUCGGGCGUUGAUUCGUCUGCACUGGAGUCGGUUUUGGCCAUCCUCUAGGAAAGUGCGUCUGGUAUUAAGUUAUCGGGCGUAUGAUCCUGGUCUUUUACUGUGAAAAAAUUAGAGUGUUUAAAGCAGGCCUUCGCCUUGAAUACAUUAGCAUGGAAUAAUAAGAUAGGACUUUGGUCUAUUUUGUUGGUUUGCAGACCGAAGUAAUGAUUAAUAGGGAUAGUUGGGGGUAUUUAUAUUCCGAUGUCAGAGGUGAAAUUCUUAGAUUUUCGGAAGAUAAACUUAUACGAAAGCAUUUACCAAGGAUGUUUUCAUUAA